GACGAACGCUGGCGGCGUGCCUAAUACAUGCAAGUUGAGCGCUGAAGGUUGGUACCUGUACCAACUGGAUGAGCAGCGAACGGGUGAGUAACGCGUGGGGAAUCUGCCUUUGAGCGGGGGACAACAUUUGGAAACGAAUGCCAAUACCGCAUAAAAACUUUAAACACAAGUUUUAAGUUUGAAAGAUGCAAUUGCAUCACUCAAAGAUGAUCCCGCGUUGUAUUAGCUAGUUGGUGAGGUAAAGGCUCACCAAGGCGAUGAUACAUAGCCGACCUGAGAGGGUGAUCGGCCACAUUGGGACUGAGACACGGCCCAAACUCCUACGGGAGGCAGCAGUAGGGAAUCUUCGGCAAUGGACGAAAGUCUGACCGAGCAACGCCGCGUGAGUGAAGAAGGUGUUCGGAUCGUAAAACUCUGUUGGUAGAGAAGAACGUUGGUGAGAGUGGAAAGCUCAUCAAGUGACGGUAACUACCCAGAAAGGGACGGCUAACUACGUG
rnacentral:rRNA from 1 species